rnacentral:rRNA from 1 species
ACGGAAGGAGCAGUGGGGAAUAUUGCACAAUGGGCGAAAGCCUGAUGCAGCGACGCCGCGUGAGUGAAGAAGUAUCUCGGUAUGUAAAGCUCUAUCAGCAGGGAAGAAAAUGACGGUACCUGACUAAGAAGCCCCGGCUAACUACGUGCCAGCAGCCGCGGUAAUACGUAGGGGGCAAGCGUUAUCCGGAUUUACUGGGUGUAAAGGGAGCGUAGACGGUUUGGCAAGUCUGAAGUGAAAUGCGGGGGCUCAACUCCUGAACUGCUUUGGAAACUGUCGAACUAGAGUGCAGGAGAGGUAAGUGGAAUUCCUAGUGUAGCGGUGAAAUGCGUAGAUAUUAGGAGGAACACCAGUGGCGAAGGCGGCUUACUGGACUGUAACUGACGUUGAGGCUCGAAAGCGUGGGGAGCAAACAGGAUUAGAUACCCUGGUA